AGCAGUCGCCGCGGUAAUGCGUAGGUGGCAAGCGUUGUCCGGAAUUAUUGGGCGUAAAGGGCUCGCAGGCGGUUUCUUAAGUCUGAUGUGAAAGCCCCCGGCUCAACCGGGGAGGGUCAUUGGAAACUGGGAAACUUGAGUGCAGAAGAGGAGAGUGGAAUUCCACGUGUAGCGGUGAAAUGCGUAGAGAUGUGGAGGAACACCAGUGGCGAAGGCGACUCUCUGGUCUGUAACUGACGCUGAGGAGCGAAAGCGUGGGGAGCGAACAGGAUUAGAUACCCGCGUAGUCCCUGUCUCUUAUAC
rnacentral:rRNA from 1 species